UUUAGGGAAAAAGACCAUUUGCACAAAAUAGAAAAAGUCAAACCCCAUUUCAAUGAUAAUCUUUUUUCUUAGCCCAUUUGAAUACAAUGUACUUAUUUUAAGCCCAAAUACACAAAUCUUUAUUAAAAUAUAAUAAAAUUAUAUUUUUAAAGACUUUUUUACCCUUAGCUUUUACUUAAAGAGAAAAAGUGAAAAAGAUGGAGGGAAGACUUUGCCGAAGCACACCGGGCUCCAGCACCAGUCACCGGCAGCCGCAUUCCGGUCGCCGGACUCCGAACUCCGGCCGCC
rnacentral:lncRNA from 1 species